rnacentral:rRNA from 1 species
AUUGGACGCUGGCGGCAGGCCUAACACAUGCAAGUCGAGCGGAUGAAGGGAGCUUGCUCCUGGAUUCAGCGGCGGACGGGUGAGUAAUGCCUAGGAAUCUGCCUGGUAGUGGGGGAUAACGUCCGGAAACGGGCGCUAAUACCGCAUACGUCCUGAGGGAGAAAGUGGGGGAUCUUCGGACCUCACGCUAUCAGAUGAGCCUAGGUCGGAUUAGCUAGUUGGUGGGGUAAGGGCCUACCAAGGCGACGAUCCGUAACUGGUCUGAGAGGAUGAUCAGUCACACUGGAACUGAGACACGGUCCAGACUCCUACGGGAGGCAGCAGUGGGGAAUAUUGGACAAUGGGCGAAAGCCUGAUCCAGCCAUGCCGCGUGUGUGAAGAAGGUCUUCGGAUUGUAAAGCACUUUAAGUUGGGAGGAAGGGCAGUAAGUUAAUACCUUGCUGUUUUGACGUUACCAACAGAAUAAGCACCGGCUAACUUCGUG